GUGGUUAAGUUAAUAAGGGCGCACGGUGGAUGCCUUGGCACUAGGAGCCGAAGAAGGACGGCACUAACACCGAUAUGCCUCGGGGAGCUGUAAGUGAGCUGUGAUCCGGGAUUUCCGAAUGGGAAACCCACUGUUCGUAAUGGGGCAGCAUCCAUGUGUGAGAUACAUAGCACAUGAGAAGGCAGACUCAGGGAACUGAAACAUCUAAGUACCUGAAGGAAGAGAAAGCAAAUGCGAUUCCCAAGUAGCGGCAGCGAAACGGGAUCAGCCCAAACCAGAAGGCUUGCCUUCUGGGGUUGUAGGACACUCUAUGCGGAGUUACAAAGGAAUGGAUUAAGCGAAGCGACCUGGAACGGUCCCCAAGACAGGGUAAUAGCCCCGUAGCUGAAAGUUCAUUCCCUCCAGAGUGGAUCCUGAGUACGGCGGAACACGAGAAAUUCCGUCGGAAUCCGGGAGGACCAUCUCCCAAGGCUAAAUACUCCCUAGUGACCGAUAGUGAACCAGUACCGUGAGGGAAAGGUGAAAAGCACCCGGAAGGGGUGAAAUAGAUCCUGAAACCGUGUGCCUACAAGUAGUUAGAGCCCGUUAAUGGGUGAUGGCGUGCCUUUGUAGAAUGAACCGGCGAGUUACGAUUGCAUGCAAGGUUAAGGUGAGAAGCCGGAGCCGCAGCGAAAGCGAGUCUGAAUAGGGCGAAUAGUAUGCAGUUGUAGACCGAAACCAGGUGAUCUACCCAUGUCCAGGGUGAAGCUAAGGUAACACUUACUGUGGAGGCCCGAACCCACGCACGUUGAAAAGUGCGGGGAUGACCUGUGGGUAGGGGAGAAAUUCCAAUCAAACCUGGAGAUAGCUGGUUCUCUCCCGAAAUAGCUUUAGGGCAGCCUCAAGAUAGAGUUUCCUGGAGGUAGAGCUACUGUUUGGACUAGGGGCCCACCGGUUACCAAUUCAGACAAACUCGAAUGCCAUAAAAUUUUGCUUGGGAGUGAGGGCAUGGGUGAUAAGAUCCAUGUCCAAGAGGAAACAGCCCAGACCACCAGCUAAGGUCCCCAAAUAUAUGUUAAGUUGAAAGGAUGUGAAACUGCUUAGACAACCAGGAUGUUGGCUUGGAAGCAGCCAUUCAUUUAAAGAGUGCGUAACAGCUCACUAGUCGAGCGGUUUUGCAUGGAUAAUAAUCGGGCAUAAACAUAUUACCGAAGCUAUGGAUUUGUUAUUAAAUUAAUUAAGUGGUAGGGGAGCGUUCUAUUUGCGUUGAAGUCAGACUGGAAGGACUGGUGGGCGCGGAUAGAAAAGAAAAUGUAGGCAUAAGUAACGAAAUAAAGGGUGAGAAUCCCCUCACCGAAAGCCUAAGGUUUCCUCAGCGAUGCUAAUCAGCUCAGGGUUAGUCGGGACCUAAGGCGAGGCCGAAGGCGUAGUCGAUGGAUAACAGGUUAAUAUUCCUACCACCUUCUUAUAAUUGCGAUGGGGGACGCAGUAAGGAAAGCACCGCGAACUGACGGAAUAGUUCGUUGAAACAUGUAGCUAUUGGAACAGUAGGUAAAUCCGUUUCUAUAUGAUCAAGGUGAAAUGUGAUGUACAACAAAUCUUUGCGUUGAUAGUGUGAUUAAAGGCUUCCAAGAAAAACCUCUAAGAGGCAGAUUAUAAGAACCCGUACCGUAAACCGACACAGGUAGUUGGGAUGAGAAUUCUAAGGUGAGCGAGUGAUUCAUGGCUAAGGAACUAGGCAAAAUCGACCCGUAACUUCGGGAGAAGGGUCGCCCAUCUUCGGAUGGGCCGCAGUGAAAAGGUCCAGGCGACUGUUUAUCAAAACACAGGGCUUUGCUAAAUUGAAAGAUGAUGUAUAAGGCCUGACACCUGCCCGGUGCUGGAAGGUUAAGUGGAGUUGUUAGCUUCGGCGAGGCAAUGAAAUGAAGCCCCAGUAAACGGCGGCCGUAACUAUAACGGUCCUAAGGUAGCGAAAUUCCUUGUCGGGUAAGUUCCGACCUGCACGAAUGGUGCAACGAUCUGGACACUGUCUCAGCCAUGAGCUCGGUGAAAUUGUAGUAUCGGUGAAGAUGCCGAUUACCCGCAGCGGGACGAAAAGACCCCGUGAACCUUUACUAUAGCUUCGUAUUGGUUUUGGAUAAGUAAUGUGUAGGAUAGGUGGGAGACUAUGAAGCGGCGUCGCUAGGCGUUGUGGAGUUGUCCUUGAAAUACCACCCUUUGCUUAUCUAGAAUCUAACUCAGCAAUGAGAACAGUGCGUGGUGGGUAGUUUGACUGGGGUGGUCGCCUCCAAAGAGUAACGGAGGCUUCUAAAGGUUCCCUCAGCACGUUUGGUAACCGUGCGUAGAGUGCAAUGGCAUAAGGGAGCUUGACUGAGAGACGGACAGGUCGAUCAGGUACGAAAGUAGGACAUAGUGAUCCGGUGGUUCCGCAUGGAAGGGCCAUCGCUCAAAGGAUAAAAGGUACCCCGGGGAUAACAGGCUGAUCUCCCCAAGAGCUCACAUCGACGGGGGUUUGGCACCUCGAUGUCGGCUCGUCACAUCCUGGGGCUGGAGAAGGUCCCAAGGGUUGGGCUGUUCGCCCAUUAAAGUGGCACGCGAGCUGGGUUCAGAACGUCGUGAGACAGUUCGGUCUCUAUCUGCUGUGGGCGUUAGAAAUUUGAGUGGAUUUGACUUUAGUACGAGAGGACCGGGUUGAACUAACCUCUGGUGUAUCUGUUGUUCCGCCAGAGCAUUGCUGAGUAGCUACGUUGGGAAGGGAUAAGCGCUGAAAGCAUAUAAGCGCGAAACCCACCACAAGAUGAGAUUUCUUUAAAGGGUCGUGGAAGAUUACCACGUUGAUAGGAUACAGGUGUAAAGGCAGUAAUAGGUUAGGGGAGUAUUACUAAUAACCCAUGCAGGCUUAUGUAU
rnacentral:rRNA from 1 species